CCUACGGGAGGCAGCAGUCGAGAGGCUUUCCACAAUGGGGGAAACCCUGAUGGAGCGACGCCGCGUGGGUGAUGAAGGUCUUCGGAUUGUAAAGCCCUUUCAGCAGGGAAGAAGGGGAUGGUGCUAAUACCAUCUAUCUUUAGACGGUACCUGCAGAAGAAGCUCCGGCUAACUCCGUGCCAGCAGCCGCGGUAAG
rnacentral:rRNA from 1 species